rnacentral:rRNA from 1 species
UACGUAGGGUGCAAGCGUUAUCCGGAAUUAUUGGGCGUAAAGAGCUCGUAGGCGGUCUGUCGCGUCUGCUGUGAAAACUGGGGGCUCAACCCCCAGCCUGCAGUGGGUACGGGCAGACUAGAGUGCGGUAGGGGAGAUUGGAAUUCCUGGUGUAGCGGUGGAAUGCGCAGAUAUCAGGAGGAACACCGAUGGCGAAGGCAGAUCUCUGGGCCGUAACUGACGCUGAGGAGCGAAAGCAUGGGGAGCGAACAGG